rnacentral:rRNA from 1 species
GUUAGGAAUAUUGGACAAUGGGCGCAAGCCUGAUCCAGCCAUGCCGCGUGAGUGAUGAAGGCCUUCGGGUUGUAAAGCUCUUUAGCCGAUGAUUAUAAUGACUGUAGUCGGAAAAUAAGCCCCGGCUAACUUCGUGCCAGCAGCCGCGGUAAUACGAAGGGGGCGAGCGUUAUUCGGAAUCACUGGGCGUAAAGCGUGCGUAGGCGGCUUUGCAAGUUGGGAGUGAAAGCCCAGGGCUCAACCCUGGAAUUGCUCUCAAAACUGCAAGGCUCGAAUUCGGGAGAGGAUAGCGGAAUUGUCAGCGUAGCAGUGAAAUGCGUAGAUAUUGACAGGAACACCAGUGGCGUAAGCGGCUAUCUGGACCGAUAUUGACGCUGGGGCACGAAAGCGUGGGGAUCAAACAGGAUUAGAUACCCUAGUAGUCCC